rnacentral:tRNA from 13 species
CUUGAUGGAAGCCAAAAAGAGGCUUAUCACUGUUAAUGAUAGAACUGAGUUUCCCUUCCCAUCAA